rnacentral:rRNA from 1 species
UACGAAGGGGGCUAGCGUUGCUCGGAUUUACUGGGCGUAAAGCGCACGUAGGCGGCUUGAUAAGUCGGAGGUGAAAUCCUGGGGCUCAACCCCAGAACUGCCUUCGAUACUGUUAAGCUUGAGUAUGAGAGAGGUAAGUGGAACUCCAAGUGUAGAGGUGAAAUUCGUAGAUAUUUGGAAGAACACCAGUGGCGAAGGCGGCUUACUGGCUCAUUACUGACGCUGAGGUGCGAAAGCGUGGGGAUCAAACAGG